rnacentral:rRNA from 1 species
AGAGUUUGAUCCUGGCUCAGGAUGAACGCUGGCGGCGUGCUUAACACAUGCAAGUCGAACGGGAAACCUUUUAUUGAAGCUUCGGCAGAUUUAGAUUGUUUCUAGUGGCGGACGGGUGAGUAACGCGUGGGUAACCUGCCUUAUACAGGGGGAUAACAGUCAGAAAUGGCUGCUAAUACCGCAUAAGCGCACAGAGCUGCAUGGCUCGGUGUGAAAAACUCCGGUGGUAUAAGAUGGACCCGCGUUGGAUUAGCUAGUUGGUGAGGUAACGGCCCACCAAGGCGACGAUCCAUAGCCGGCCUGAGAGGGUGAACGGCCACAUUGGGACUGAGACACGGCCCAGACUCCUACGGGAGGCAGCAGUGGGGAAUAUUGCACAAUGGGGGAAACCCUGAUGCAGCGACGCCGCGUGAAGGAAGAAGUAUCUCGGUAUGUAAACUUCUAUCAGCAGGGAAGAAAAUGACGGUACCUGACUAAGAAGCCCCGGCUAACUACGUGCCAGCAGCCGCGGUAAUACGUAGGGGGCAAGCGUUAUCCGGAUUUACUGGGUGUAAAGGGAGCGUAGACGGAUGGACAAAUCUGAUGUGAAAGGCUGGGGCUCAACCCCGGGACUGCAUUGGAAACUGCCCGUCUUGAGUGCCGGAGAGGUAAGCGGAAUUCCUAGUGUAGCGGUGAAAUGCGUAGAUAUUAGGAGGAACACCAGUGGCGAAGGCGGCUUACUGGACGGUAACUGACGUUGAGGCUCGAAAGCGUGGGGAGCAANACAGGAUUAGAUACCCUGGUAGUCCACGCGGUAAACGAUGA